rnacentral:snRNA from 1 species
CAAAAUAAAAUUGGGGUGAUACAGAAGAUUAGCAUGGUCCCUGCACAAGGAUAACAUGCAAAUUCAUGAAGCAUUCCAUAUUUUU